CUGAAUCACCCACAAGGUUUCUGCAGUCUUUUAUGGAUGCAUAUGCAUAAUUUUUGAAUGAGACCAAAUUAAGAAGAAAGUGGGAGAAGGUUUGAGCCAUCUUUCAACACUGAGCUAUCUAGAUUUCUAGAUAAUGUCUGGGACACAAGAGAAUGUAGUGUGAAGGACUCUGCACAGCAUUGCCACAAGCUGUCAACAGCAGGAGAGAGGGAUUUGGCAGUGAUCCCACAACCUAGCUGGGGAGCUGAAUGUUCACGACCUAUUAAGAGUUGUGUGACCACUUCAGUCACAUCCCAUGAACUCCAGUGCUUCCCUGGGUUAUUGGUGUAACACCUCUUCAGUGGCUUCCACCUCAUCAACUGUAUUGGCCAAGAGCCCAGCUGGGUGAAACAACAGGACACCAGCACAAAGCCAGGGCUUGUGAGGCACCCAUCUUGGUGGUCCAGUGCCCGCUGCCCCUGGAGGAAGCCUGCAGUCUGGAACCAGGACCUCUUGCUGAGGAACCCAGGGAGCAGACACUGUGCUGUAGAUGAAUGGAUGCUCUGAGUUGCUUUCAGCAGUUUUGCUGCACAAGUGAUACAUAUUGGUAUGUCAGCAUCUUCCCAACGUUGUUUUGAAACAGCAAGUUGGUCAAGAACACAUUUUGUUCCUGUUGUCUUGUAUUAUCACUCACUUGCUCAACAACAAAAAAUGCCAAAACCCCCAAAACUUUAUGUCAAAAUCUAUGAGUUGAGCACAUAAAUCUGCAAAUAGUUGCUGUUUGUCUUCCUACUCUCUUGUCAUAAAGAAAUUGCUUAGGAAAUAACUGUCCAUGAUAGUCCAGAAUCAGCUGCUUUACACACAUAUCUGUGUAACAUCAAUUUCUUGUCGACCAACAGCAGUGCCUUUUUAGAGGAGCAUAACUGCAGUGUGAUCUGUCAGCCCUCACUGCAGCUAUUUCAUCCCCUGACCUAAAUUUGGGUGUUUGUCACCACCAUAAACACUACUACUAUUUGCUUCUAAGAUUAAAGGGGGAAAUAAUGUCUUUAUCUGCCUACAGUUGUAAAGCUGUGCCAGAGUAGGUUUUAUUCUGUUUAUUACUUCUGCUGAGGGAAAAGAGUGCCCUUCCUCAUAUGGUGGUAAUUUUAGUGCAGGCUAGAUAAAGCAUAUAUAGAAGUAAAAUGCUGGGAAAUAGACUAUUCUGAAAUUUGAACACAUUUUCUUUAAUCUCUUAUUUCUGGGCUUUUUGUGGGUAUUGUGUAUCUUGGUUUAA